AUAUUAUAUAAGGGGCCUGUCUCACUCUUUUCUCAUUUUCUAUGUAGACUCAAACAAAAUAAAUGCUACAGUAGUCUGAAACCCAGAAUAACUUCCUCAUCCUUAAAAGCAACAAUCAAAAAGGUGAUAGGAAUAUAAAACAAGCAUGGCAGCAGCAAGAACCAAGCUGAAAGGAUCAAGAGAGAGGUGAAAUGCUUCAGCGCAAGGCCCCAAUGAAGCCAUCAUGUGACAAGAAUCCCAAACCUGCUGCAAUAGGAAAAAAGAAAACAGAAGGGAAAGGCCAGUCUUGUGGCAGAGCUGAUAGAGAUGUCAGCCCUGCUUCAGUAAUCUCAUGACGCCUCAGCCCAGCGUGGGGCACAGGAGAUCCACAGUCAGCAUGGCGUGACGAGGAAGACCACCCCACUGAAGGCAGCAAGGGGGCAGGCGGACACACAAAUCAAAGUAGAAGAAAGUAAUUUUUGAUAAAUUAAAGAAAUCUCCAUGGAAAUUAGCAUGAAA